rnacentral:rRNA from 1 species
AUGAAGGAGAUGCAAAUUACCAGUGCUAUUGCUGCUGCUGUCAUCGAAGAAGCAAAGGAGAAGAUGAAGAAAAUAGUAUCGGAAGAGGUUGAGACGGCCACUGAAGUUGCAGCUGCCAUCAAAGAAACCAAGCGAAAGAUGUAUCAGUUCCUGUGGAAGAUUGUGGGUCAGCUUCGUAUCAAAGUGCUAGUGGACAAGAUUAAGCCGCAUCUGGAAAACAAGAAGACCCUGAUUAUCCUCCAAGAUGACCAAGACUAUGUUUCAGCCGGAUCCCGGUGGGAGGAGACCAGAAAUGCUUUGAAACUGUUAGGGUGCAGAGCAGUGAUUGUGUCCACAAAGAACAGCCAAAAGGCCACAGAAUUUUGCCAUCCACCGGGAGUAGAGCCAAUAACUUAUUCCCUAGUUGGACUCUACCAUGAUACUGUGCUUGAGCUUACAAAGGCACGGAUGAAUAAGGGAAAUGACGGCUACACCCCAAACAUUCUCCGUGAAAUCUUGGCCAAGUGUCAUCCACAUGAGUUCUGCAUGAAGAUCUUCACGUACGCUCUUUAUGCUAAUCCCAAUAGGAGCUAUGAAGAACUGUGCAAGUUACAUGAAGAUCUGGUUCCCCACAAGACAUUUGGCAGUAAAGCUAAGAAGAUGAUCAAGUUCUCCUACAAAGAUCUGCCUAGAGAACACAAGACUUGCUUGCUGUACCUAGCCAUCUUCCCUCAAGGCCAAAACAUCAAAAGGUCUACCUUAAUAGGACGAUGGGUUACGGAGGGGUUGAUAACUAAGCAAGACUGGGCCACCGCAGUGCAUCAUGCCGAGCAAUGUUUUGACACUCUGAUUGAACGGGGGCUUCUUUUUCCUCAUGAAAUUGGUGCUGCAGGAAAGGUCAAGAGCUGCAUUUUAGGUGAUCAAGUCCAUGGCUUUAUCACCAAGGUUGCAAGUAAGGAGCACAUUUUGGAUGCACGCCUGUCAGAUCUUUGGGCUCGGCAUUUCUCCAUCUUUAGUGGUCUCCGACUCCGUGCCUCUGAUGGCAUCGAUAACUUUGUACACAAGCUCCCCAAAUAUUCACCUCAAUUGCCGCUGCUCAAGGUGCUAGAUCUGGAAGGCACUAAAUGCUUUGAGAAAAAUCACUACCUCAGGGACAUUUGCAACAAGAUAUUACUUCUCAAGUAUCUGAGCCUAAGAAGAACAAAUGUUAGAUAUCUUCCCAGUGAAAUAAACAACCUCCAUGAGCUAGAGGUAUUGGAUAUCCGGCAAACUAUGGUACCUGAGCGUGCAACAAGGGAUGUCCUGCUCCUGAAGCUGAGGCGCUUCUUGGCUAACCGCGUUGAUCCAAAUCCAGGACUCAAUGAUAAGUCGCCACACUUUCCUGUCCAGAUUCCUUCCAAAAUUGAAAAAAUGGAAAAUUUGGAGGUACUAUCAAGUGUCAAGGCUUCAGGGGAUGGCCGUGAGUUGAAAGAGAUAAAAAAUCUAUGGCAAUUAAGGAAGCUCGGUGUGGUUAUUGAAGACAGGGUCAUUCACCUCACGAGGUUGCUUCAAGCGAUCAGUGACCUAAAAGAUUGCCUUCGAUCUCUUUCAGUCACCAUAUCAUGCAACACCAGAACUAAGAGCAUUCUAUCCAGCAAAGAGGGGCAUGCAAUAGAUGUGCACCGUUGGUUAAGACAAACUCCCAAGCAUCAACGGAGUCACAGAAAAGGUGCAGCUUCUUGA